GAUGAACGCUGGCGGCGUGCCUAAUACAUGCAAGUCGAGCGAACGGACGAGAAGCUUGCUUCUCUGAUGUUAGCGGCGGACGGGUGAGUAACACGUGGAUAACCUACCUAUAAGACUGGGAUAACUUCGGGAAACCGGAGCUAAUACCGGAUAAUAUUUUGAACCGCAUGGUUCAAAAGUGAAAGACGGUCUUGCUGUCACUUAUAGAUGGAUCCGCGCUGCAUUAGCUAGUUGGUAAGGUAACGGCUUACCAAGGCAACGAUGCAUAGCCGACCUGAGAGGGGGAUCGGCCACACUGGAACUGAGACACGGUCCAGACUCCUACGGGAGGCAGCAGCAGGGAAUCUUCCGCAAUGGGCGAAAGCCUGACGGAGCAACGCCGCGUGAGUGAUGAAGGUCUUCGGAUCGUAAAACUCUGUUAUUAGGGAAGAACAUAUGUGUAAGUAACUGUGCACAUCUUGACGGUACCUAAGCAGAAAGCCACGGCUAACUACGU
rnacentral:rRNA from 1 species